rnacentral:tRNA from 1 species
AAAUCUGAAAUAAAAUAUUAUAUUCAGUUUCGACCUGAAAUUUUAGUUAAUUUAAUUUAACUCUGAUUUA